UUUUUUUUUCUCCGUGUUUUUCCUCGAUGUCAAUUUUCAAUCGCAGUUUUUGUUGUUCUCCAUUCUUCUUCCUCUUCACUUUCUCUUUCGUCAUCUUUCUCCGUGUCUUCUCCGCGUCUUAUUCAUAUACCAAAGUAAGAGUUAGUCUAUAAAACGACAUUUUUUAUUAUUUCUUGAUGUUAUGAAGACAAUUCUUAUAAUAAUAAUUCUACACAGAUCACGAACUUGAAUUCCCAUCCACUGUACGACAGUUCCACACUCGACAACGAUAUCGCUCUCGUACGUCUGGCAUCCCCGGCAACCAUGACCGAAUACGUGCAUUUAGCGUGUCUGUCAUCCGAGUGGAGUUUGCGGUCUAGUGCUGUCGUCACAGGCUGGGGCUUGCUUGAGGAAGGAGGGCCGUCCGCCCAGGUCCUGCAGGAGGCGGAGGUGGGCGUGGUGGAGUGGCGGACUGUCGUAAGGUCUAUGGCAGCGAGCUCAGGGCCUCGAUGAUGUGUGCGGGCGGUGCUCUCAGAGAUGCGUGCCAGGGCGACAGCGGGGGCGUCUCGUGGUCCAGGCGCCGAGUGGGCGGUGGGCGGUCGCGGGCGUGGUGUCCUGGGGCGACGGGUGUGCACGGCCAGGCUACCCCGGGGUCUAUGCGAAUGUCAGUAGUA